CCUACGGGGGGCAGCAGUGAGGAAUAUUGGUCAAUGGGCGCGAGUCUGAACCAGCCAUGCCGCGUGAAGGAAGACUGCCCUACGGGUUGUAAACUUCUUUUAUAAAAGGAUAAACUCAGACACGUGUGCCUUUCUGAAAGUACCUUAUGAAUAAGGAUCGGCUAACUCCGUGCCAGCAGCCGCGGUAAUACGGAGGAUCCGAGCGUUAUCCGGAUUUAUUGGGUUUAAAGGGUGCGUAGGCGGGUGGAUAAGUUAGAUGUGAAAUCCUGCGGCUCAACUGUAGAAUUGCAUUUGAUACUGGCAGCCUAGAGAGUAGUUGAGGUAGGCGGAAUGUGUGGUGUAGCGGUGAAAUGCUUAGAGAUCAUGAAGAACACCGAUUGCGAAGGCAGCUUACUAAGCUGCCACUGACGUUGAGGCACGAAAGCGUGGGUAGCAAACAGGAUUAGAUACCCUGGUAGUC
rnacentral:rRNA from 1 species